rnacentral:lncRNA from 1 species
AAAAUCUAAUCAAAAUUAUUUAGUUUCACAUGAAUGAACAUCUUUCCAGUUUAAAUACAAAAAUAAUCCUUCAGUGUCAUAACUGACAUAAGGCAUCUUGAAGAAAUAUGAAAUACAUGGGUUUGAUUGGUUAUCCCUCACUAAAUUCCAUACAUAUGCAAAUUUACAUGAGUAAACAAAUGUUUAUAAAAACUUUGCCCGAGUCAAUGACCAUGAAGUAUAGACUUAUCACAACAACAGAUAUAACAACAAGAAUGUGUCCAUAGUACACGAAUGCCCUACUCGCACUAUCAUUUUACAUGUUCAGUGGACUGUGAAAUUGGGGUCAAAACUUCAAUUUGGCAUUAAAAUUAGAAAGAUCAUAUCAUAGGGAACAUGUGUACUAAGUUUCAAGUUGAUUGGACUUCAACUUCAUCAAAAACUACCUUGACCAAAAACUUUAACCUGAAGCAGGAUGAACGAACGGAUGGACAAUGGGAUGGACGAACGAACAGACAGACAAACAGUGACACAGACCAGAAAACAUAAUGCCCCUCUACUAUCGUAGGUGGGGCAUAAAAAGUGUUUCAAAUAAACAAUUGACAGAAAGACAUGUCUCGUCUGUCACAAAAGUUUUUCCAGGAGUAAAAAGUAAAAGAUGAAAUCUAAAUAGCAAUACUUUAAUUUGUCAACCAUGCAAAAGUUUUCAAAGUCAAUAGACCAUGAAUUAGGGGGCAAAAUCAAAUAAUCUCAACUAGAAUGACAUGUGCCAAUAACAGGUUAUUAUUUAAAGUUGGAAUUAUUUUUAAUUAUGGAAUUUGUUAAAUUUUCUGUGCUGGAAAUUUUUAAUAAAUUCCAUAUUUAUUUGGUA